rnacentral:rRNA from 1 species
GGCUCAGGAUGAACGCUAGCGGCGGGCUUAAUACAUGCAAGUCGAGGGGCUGCAGCAAUGCAGCGACCGGCGGACGGGUGCGUAACGCGUAUGCAACGUGCCCACCACGGGGGGAUAGCCCGGAGAAAUCCGGAUUAAUACCCCAUAUUCUUCCGAUGGGGCAUCCCAUUGGUCGGAAAGUAUCAACGGUGGUGGAUCGGCAUGCGUGCCAUUAGCUAGUUGGUGAGGUAACGGCUCACCAAGGCUACGAUGGCUAGGGGGCCUGAGAGGGUUAUCCCCCACACUGGCACUGAGAUACGGGCCAGACUCCUACGGGAGGCAGCAGUAGGGAAUAUUGGGCAAUGGGCGCAAGCCUGACCCAGCCACGCCGCGUGAAGGACGAAGGCCCUCAGGGUUGUAAACUUCUUUUGCAGGGGAAGAAAAGGCCGCAUGCGUGCGGCAAUUGCCGGUACUCUGCGAAUAAGCACCGGCUAACUACGUGCCAGCAGCCGCGGUAAUACGUAGGGUGCGAGCGUUGUCCGGAUUUACUGGGUUUGAAGGGAGCGUAGGCUGCCUGAUAAGUCAGCGGUGAAAUAUGCCAGCUCAACUGGCAACGUGCCGUUGAUACUGUCGGGCUAGAGUUCCGGAGAGGGUACUGGAAUUCGUGGUGUAGCGGUGAAAUGCAUAGAUACCACGAGGAACACCGAUUGCGAAGGCAGGUACCUGGCCGGCGACUGACGCUGAGGCUCGAAAGCGUGGGGAUCAAACAGGAUUAGAUACCCUGGUAGUCCACGCCGUAAACGAUGGUCACUCGGUGUAUGCCCCUCUGGGGUGUGUGCCCAAGCGAAAGCGAUAAGUGACCCACCUGGGGAGUACGUCCGCAAGGAUGAAACUC